rnacentral:tRNA from 1 species
GCCUGGGUGGCUUAGUCGGUUAAGUGUCUGACUUUGGCUCAGGUCACGAUCUCACGGUUCGUGGGUUCAAGCCCCGUGUCAGGCU